GAGAGAGAGAGAGAGGAUCUACCAUUCAAAUCCAAACGAAAACCGAAAGGGUCCAAUUAAUAAUGAUCAGACGAUUGGUUAAUUCCAACCAUCCUCGAAUUGGGGUAUCAAAAAAAUAGGCCUGAACCUUUCAUAUACAACGACUCCUCUGUUCUCUCUGCAUAUACACAUGCUUUUCAUUGCAGCUUCCCCACACCAUUUUUUUUGUUUCCCCCUUUUUUCUUUUAUGAUAUGAUAAUUCUCCUGAGAAUUCGGUGACCCCAUUCAUCAUUGUAUCAUCAUGCCAAAAUGCAGUUCGCAAAAGGGUUCAGAAAGAAAGAAAGAAAAAAAUCAUCAACGGGUUUCUCUUUCCCAAAAAGCUCAAACUUUUUCGGCUUCGAGGUUUUCGGAUUUCACUUUCAGAACUUCUUGUCAACAUGAUCAUGAAACCUCUUGAGCUGUUCAUUGUGACGCAAAGCAGAUUCCGAUGACAUGAUCGGAGCAAUAUCCCAACCGGCACCAAAGGCGAAAUUCUGAGGAGUGGGAGUACUCGAGAUGAUCAAAGGGUCAGAACUACCACAAGGUACAAUCCCAUUAAGCUGUUGUUGUUGUUGUUGCACUGCUUGAUGUUGAAUACUAUUGAAUCCAUCUUCAUUGAUCAGAGAAUUCAAGAACGAAGAGAACACAUCGUCGGUGCUAUAGUUAACCUCGUCGUCUUCCUCAUUUCCAACCCCAUUAUUGCUGCUUCUGACCAACCCUAAUCCAGAAAAAUCAGGAUUCUGCAAAUUAGGGUUAGGGUUUGACAACAUCUGAUUUGCGCCUUGGUAAUAAUACCCAUUUCCCUUGUUCAUCACAGGAAUUCGGUUACUGCUAACGACAGGUUCUAAUUCCAAGGAAGGAGUAACGAUAUUCUGGUCAGCGUAUGGCAUCAGAUUCUGAUUGAAUUUUGAGGAAGAGAGCUUGUUUUUGUUGUCGUCUUCUGCGGGAGAAUUAGGGUUAAGUGGCUUGUGUGUUCUUGGAUCGAUCCCUUGGCUGAUGAGCUUCUUGCUGAGGUGAGUGUUCCAGUAGUUCUUUAUCUCGUUAUCAGUUCGUCCCGGAAUUCUUCCCGCUAUCAAUGACCACCUGUACAUACAAAUUGAAGUUUAAUCCACACACACAUUAUAUAAUCAUCAUUUGAUUUU